rnacentral:rRNA from 1 species
AUUGAACGCUGGCGGCAGGCCUAACACAUGCAAGUCGAGCGAGUGGCUGACGGGUGAGUAAUGUCUGGGGAACUGCCUGAUAGAGGGGGAUAACUACUGUAAACGGUGGCUAAUACCGCCUACUAUCGGAUGAACCCAUCUGGGAUUAGCUCGUAGGUGGGGUAAAGGCUAACCUAGGCGACGAUCCCUCACUGGUCUGAGGGGAUGAUCAGCCACACUGGUACUGAGAAACGGCCCAGACGCCUACGUGAGGCAGCAGUGGGGAAUAUUGCACAAUGGGCGCAAGCCGGAUGCAGCCAUGCCGCGUGUAUGAAGAAGGCCUUAGGGUGGUAAAGUACUUUCAGCGGGGAGGCGUUACCCGCAGAAGAAGCACCGGCUAACUCCGUGCCAGCAGCCGCGGUAAUUC